AUUGCUACAACAAAAUUCUCUUGGCCAAGUGUAGUGGCUCUUGCCUUUAAUCCUAGCACUUUGGGAGACAGAGGCAGGCAGAUGGCUUGAGCCCAGGAGUUUAAGACCAGCCUGGGCAACAAUAACAAAACUCCAUCUCUACAAACAAAACAAAACAAAAAUUAGCUGGGCAUGGUGGCGCAUGCCUGUGGUCCCGCUCUUGACUCUCAGCACUCUUCCUGUCUAUGGUCCCACUCCUGCACCUUAGGCUGUCCAUUUGCAUUAAUUCUCUUUAGUUUCAGAGACUUUCAUGUGAAUUUAUUGGGCCUGGUCACUCAUUUCACACCUCCUGGGAGACAGUAUCUCCCUCAUGUCCCGAUCCCACAAUGGUGAUGGGAGUGUUUAACACAGAAAAACAGUGGUUUCCCCAG
rnacentral:lncRNA from 1 species